GAUGAACGCUGGCGGCGUGCUUAACACAUGCAAGUCGAACGAAGCACUUUAUUUGAUUUCCUUCGGGACUGAUUAUUUUGUGACUGAGUGGCGGACGGGUGAGUAACGCGUGGGUAACCUGCCUUGUACAGGGGGAUAACAGUUGGAAACGGCUGCUAAUACCGCAUAAGCGCACAGCAUCGCAUGAUGCAGUGGGAAAAACUCCGGUGGUAUAAGAUGGACCCGCGUUGGAUUAGCUAGUUGGUGAGGUAACGGCCCACCAAGGCGACGAUCCAUAGCCGACCUGAGAGGGUGACCGGCCACAUUGGGACUGAGACACGGCCCAAACUCCUACGGGAGGCAGCAGUGGGGAAUAUUGCACAAUGGGCGAAAGCCUGAUGCAGCGACGCCGCGUGAGCGAAGAAGUAUUUCGGUAUGUAAAGCUCUAUCAGCAGGGAAGAUAAUGACGGUACCUGACGAAGAAGCACCGGCUAAAUACGUG
rnacentral:rRNA from 1 species